AUCAUAUCCUUCUCGCCUCUUCAUUUGAUGGUUCGAGCACUUGCUCGGCCGAAAUCGGUUAUCCUGUGCUGCAUACCUAUCUCGAAGGCAUUUCGUUGGCUAAAAGUGUGGUUUUCCACCGUGUGCCGCUGCUCCUUGCGGGGAAGCGGCGCGCGUUGGACCUCAAGGCAGUCGCUGUGUUUCGCACCGUCUUCACCUCGACGGGUGUUUCGGUUGCCGAGCCACGGCGCAAUGCUUGAUAUCUCGGGUGCGGAACAUCUUUGUGGGUGCGAGGUCCUUGGCCUCUGAUCACCACAACAAAAAGCGUUCUACGCUUCGUGCGAACGACGGUCGGCCCGGUCUUUUGCCGUGCUCUUGAAGCACGGUUGGAGUCGUGUCGGCGUCGG
rnacentral:misc_RNA from 1 species